GGCUGUGUGGCUUAGUGGUAGAGCAUUGGCCUAAGCACCAAAGGAUCAUGGGUUCGAUUCCUGGUCAAAGGCA
rfam:Myotis brandtii contig240757, whole genome shotgun sequence.